rnacentral:rRNA from 1 species
AUACUCCGAGAACUGAAAGGCUUUUUGAAGUCUUCGGAUGGAUAGAAGAACCCCUGAUGCCGUCGAGCCAAGAAAAGUUUCUAAGUUUAGCUAAUGUUGCCCGUACCGUAAACCGACACAGGUGGGUGGGAUGAGUAUUCUAAGGCGCGUGGAAGAACUCUCUUUAAGGAACUCUGCAAAAUAGCACCGUAUCUUCGGUAUAAGGUGUGGUUAGCUUCGUACUAGGAUUUACUCCGAAAGCGAAGAAACUUACAACAAAGAGUCCCUCCCGACUGUUUACCAAAAACACAGCACUCUGCUAACUCGUAAGAGGAUGUAUAGGGUGUGACGCCUGCCCGGUGCUCGAAGGUUAAUUGAUGGGGUUAGCAUUAGCGAAGCUCUUGAUCGAAGCCCGAGUAAACGGCGGCCGUAACUAUAACGGUCCUAAGGUAGCGAAAUUCCUUGUCGGUUAAAUACCGACCUGCAUGAAUGGCGUAACGAGAUGGGAGCUGUCUCAAAGAGGGAUCCAGUGAAAUUGUAGUGGAGGUGAAAAUUCCUCCUACCCGCGGCAAGACGGAAAGACCCCGUGGACCUU